ensembl:lncRNA
CACACACACACACACACACACACACACACACACACACACACACACACACACACACACACCGAGGGCUAUAGAGGUACAAUGAGGGGUAGAGCGACACAAAAAGGGGUAGAGAGACAGAGACAGGGGGGGAGCUCGGGUAUCGAACAAUAGGACGGGCCGGAGCCAAAGAGGACGGAGGAGACGACUGAAGGAAUAGAGGGAACAUGAAGAGAAACCGCUGAUUUCCUCCUUGAACCCACUGGAUAUACAGCCGAGUGCUGCGCUUGUAGAGAGAGAGAGAGAGAGAGAGAGAGAGAGAGAGAGAGAGAGAGAGAGAGAGUCUGUGUGUGGAGGACUCGAGAUGAAUCCUCUCGAGGGAACAGAGGAGGCGUCCACCGAAGACGCAGACACCUUCUUCAAAACAGG